rnacentral:rRNA from 1 species
UACGUAGGGUGCAAGCGUUAAUCGGAAUUACUGGGCGUAAAGCGUGCGCAGGCGGUUUUGUAAGUCAGAUGUGAAAUCCCCGGGCUUAACCUGGGAACUGCGUUUGAAACUACAAGGCUAGAGUGUGGCAGAGGGGGGUGGAAUUCCACGUGUAGCAGUGAAAUGCGUAGAGAUGUGGAGGAACACCGAUGGCGAAGGCAGCCCCCUGGGCCGAUACUGACGCUCAGGCACGAAAGCGUGGGGAGCAAACAGG